UUUCCAACUCAUCCCACCUCAUCAGAUUCUCUUGUCAGAAUAUUCUUGUUCAUUGAUCUUAUCAUAACAAACAUUUCCCUCUCAGCACGAUCUGGAAUUGAAGCAAGUUGGUGUAACGUGCAAACCCAUUGAAGUUCAGGUGCAAUUGGAACUAUGAUACAUGUCAAUCAUAUAACCUAGCUAUUUGGUCCAAUUGAAUCUCAUCAAUUUGGAUUUGCACAUGCUGGCAUAAUAAUGGAAGCUAGAGAAAAAGGCUUUCGUCGCCACCUAUAUAACCACUAAGAUGACAUUAUUGGUGGUUUUCUUAAUUCCUUUUACUUUUCUUGCUUUCCUACCACAAUGUAGUGUUGUUUACAGGCUUUAAUUUAUUUGUUGGAGGAAGUGAAUUGGAUUUACGAGUUGAAUAAGACUUCUUACAUAUUCAGAUGGAGUUAGGAUCCAUUGAAGCAAAAUUAAAGUGUGUAAAAUUUGCUUACAUAAUUAGUAGAUGGAAAACUUCUUUAAUUUCCAUGUUGGAGUUAGAUCUCUAUAAAUCAACACAUCAUUGAUCUGGCACUGACAGAUUUUAAACAAUCACAAAUUAUUUAGGCUUGAAAAGUCCAUCACCACCCGAUGGCAACUACAGCAACAUCGAAUGAGGCAUUCAACCUUUGGCAGUAUUGAAGGGAGAAGCCCUCAUGCUAUUCGAUUGUUGAGAUAAAGUAUGACUUUAUUAAUUGGUGGGAGCCUUUAUACUUAAAAGAUACAAAAUACGUACCAAAAUGAUAACCAAUACUAUAUUAUCAUAUAACCAAGAUCUUAAAAUCAUCUACAACAAAUACAUCAAACUAGAACUUUGGCCUUUGUCCAAUUCAAUCCCUUUAUAUAUUCAUAGAGAAUAUGAAAAAUGAACUUUAUAUCAUCCUUCAUCAUGUAUCAUGUUAAAAUAGUUGUUUAUUUUGUUUUGUAUAUAAUCGAUUAACUAUACGAUUAAUCAAUUAUCUGAGUAAUUCUGUAUUUGUUAGUUAGGAGAUGUAGUAUAUAAAGGGUGGUUCCCUUAAUCUUUGUAUUCAAUUCUAUUCAUUCAAUAAUGAGAAGUUCGUUCUUUCUUUAGUUUUCUUUAAACCUUUUUCUUUGAGUUUUCUUUUAUUUCUCAUUCAUGUCUUUCUCAUCUUUCUUGUUAAUCAAGAAAUCUCUCUUUUAUGGCUCAUACCAAACUUUAACAUAUCCACCAAUUCUAUGUCAUUUGUCCUAUAU